CCUACGGGUGGCAGCAGUGAUGAAUAUUGGUCAAUGGGCUGAAGUCUGAACCAGCCAUGCCGCGUGCAGGAAGACUGCUCUAUGAGUUGUAAACUGCUUUUGUACAAGGGUAAACCUGAAUACGUGUAUUCAGCUACAAUUACUUUACUAAUAAGGAUCGGCUAACUCCUUGCCAGCAGCCGCGGUAAUACGGAGGAUCCAAGGGUUAUCCGGAUUUAUUGGGUUUAAAGGGUGCGUAGGCGGAUUGAUAAGUUAGAGGUGAAAUGUCCGAGCUUAACUCGGGAACUGCCUAUAAUACUGUUGAUCUAGAGAGUAGAUGCGGUAGGCGGAAUGGAUGGUGUAGCGGUGAAAUGCUUAGAGAUCAUACAGAACACCGAUUGCGAAGGCAGCUUACCAAUCUAUAUCUGACGUUGAGGCACGAAAGCGUGGGGAGCAAACAGGAUUAGAUACCCGGGUAGUC
rnacentral:rRNA from 1 species